GUAGUCAUAUGCUUGUCUCAAAGAUUAAGCCAUGCAUGUCUAAGUAUAAGCAAUCUAUACCGUGAAACUGCGAAUGGCUCAUUAAAUCAGUUAUCGUUUAUUUGAUAGUACCUUACUACUUGGAUAACCGUGGUAAUUCUAGAGCUAAUACAUGCUAAAAACCUCGACUUCGGAAGGGGUGUAUUUAUUAGAUAAAAAACCAAUGCCCUUCGGGGCUCCUUGGUGAUUCAUAAUAACUUAACGAAUCGCAUGGCCUUGUGCCGGCGAUGGUUCAUUCAAAUUUCUGCCCUAUCAACUUUCGAUGGUAGCGUAGUGGGCUACCAUGGUUUCAACGGGUAACGGGGAAUUAGGGUUCUAUUCCGGAGAGGGAGCCUGAGAAACGGCUACCACAUCCAAGGAAGGCAGCAGGCGCGCAAAUUACCCAAUCCCGACACGGGGAGGUAGUGACAAUAAAUACUGAUACAGGGCUCUUUUGGGUCUUGUAAUUGGAAUGAGUACAAUUUAAAUCCCUUAACGAGGAACAAUUGGAGGGCAAGUCUGGUGCCAGCAGCCGCGGUAAUUCCAGCUCCAAUAGCGUAUAUUAAAGUUGUUGCAGUUAAAAAGCUCGUAGUUGAACCUUGGGCCUGGCUGGCCGGUCCGCCUCACCGCGUGCACUGGUCCGGCCGGGUCUUUCCUUCUGAGGAGCCGCAUGCCCUUCACUGGGUGUGUCGGGGAAUCAGGACUUUUACUUUGAAAAAAUUAGAGUGUUCAAAGCAGGCCUAUGCUCGAAUACAUUAGCAUGGAAUAAUAGAAUAGGACGUGUGGUUCUAUUUUGUUGGUUUCUAGGACCGCCGUAAUGAUUAAUAGGGAUAGUCGGGGGCAUCAGUAUUCAAUUGUCAGAGGUGAAAUUCUUGGAUUUAUUGAAGACUAACUACUGCGAAAGCAUUUGCCAAGGAUGUUUUCAUUAAUCAGUGAACGAAAGUUAGGGGAUCGAAGACGAUCAGAUACCGUCGUAGUCUUAACCAUAAACUAUGCCGACUAGGGAUCGGGCGAUGUUAUCUUUUUGACUCGCUCGGCACCUUACGAGAAAUCAAAG
rnacentral:rRNA from 1 species